rnacentral:tRNA from 1 species
GCUACUCCCCACCACCAGCACCCAAAACUGGUAUUCUAAUUAAACUACUUCUUG